GUUAGACAGAAUGAAAUAUAGAAGUGCCAUUUGGCACUUACAGGGAUGAAAGGGUUUAAUACUAUGUCUGCCUGAUCAAAUCCCAAUAGCGUGGGUUAGUUGGUCGAAGAUCUACCAAAGAAGAAACAAAAUGGAUUCGGAGUUGUAACCGUUUCCGUUAAUACUUUGGUCGUCGACUAGGUUUUCAGUUAAAGACACCAAUAGGGCCUCCCCGCGUUUCAUUUUUCAGGGGCAUUAGUCGGAAG